UGAACACACAAUGACGAUAAUUGCGCGACUGCGUACAGAAAUAUAGUCUUUUAGUUUCGAUAUAAAAGUUCAGUUCUUGUCGAUUGUUUUGUUUACUUUUUAUUUUUAAUUUAUAUAACAACGAAUUGUUAAAUAAUUCGUUUGAUUUUUUUUUGUUCUUUAUUCCUACAGUAUUUUUAUUACUCAUUAUCAGGAGUCGUGUUGAAAGUUAUUGCAGAGAUCUAGUCAACUAAAAUGAAUCGACACUACGUGCGGACCACGCGCGAUGACGGUGCCUCACUAAAAGUACCAAUCAGCAGUGGUGGUAACAGUGACCUCGAUACCGUUGUCCCCCCAAUCUCAAGAAGGUGCCCAAUGCCAAAAAUUUAACGCCGCCCAGAACUUUCACUCUACUCCUUUUCUCCGUAAUUUUCAGUUUUUAACUAUUUUUAAGUUUUUUUUUUUAUCCAUCCAUAUGUAUAUAUUUACACACCCAUUUUACUAUACUCCAAAAAGAAGAAAUAAUUAACCUUCUAAAAAUAAAUUCAUAUUAUAUCAUUUUUAAUUUUAAACAGGAUUAAUUAUGAUAAUUAAUUAUUAUUAUAUUCAUUUUAUAUUUUAAAUGUUUCACUUUCAACUGAAAACAAAAAAAAAAAAAAAAAAGAAAUCAAUGAAGUUUAUUUAAUGAAAGUAUAAUCUACGUCAUAUUUAUAAAAAGAUUAACUUUUUUUUUUUGGUUUUUAUAAAAGUAAAAGUCACUCGAAAAUUUUAAACAACGUAAUAGUGUUUAAUUAAAAAAAAAGUAAUUUUGAUCCGAUAUAACAAAAAAACUAAAAUUUCAAUGAAGUAUGUUUUAUGCACAUACAUAUAUAUAUAUUUAUGUUUAAAGGACUUGGAUAUAAAAGUAACUAGCGUUUAGAAUAUGAGACGGCUAUCGUGGGUCGCAGCAGCCGACGUUUACUGCAUUUAUUCUGUAGCUGCACGUUACGAACUGGUCGGCCAUGGCAUACUUAGUAAUGUCAAUCACACGGGCUAAAUGGUAGUAGUGGUGUGUAAACGUUUAUAUAUCGAGAAUCACGCGUACAUACAGAUAUAUAUACAUAUUACUUGCAGGUAACAUAUAAAGUUUGUAGCUACAUUGACCGUGCGAUAGUCGACCCUCCCAUCUUGCCUAUCGAGCUUACUAAGUCCUCGACCCUCUGACCCUCUCGCGAGCCGAAUACAACACUGUCUGUUUGUCAGUCUUGAUAGUCUAGGGAAGAAAGCGUUCACUUCCGGAGACCUGGAUCAAACUAAGACUUUCUUUUUUUAUUCAAUUUUCGUUUCUCAUAUUUUCAUUGUCGAAAUAUAUUUCUAAUAAAUAUCAAUACGUAAAAUUAAAAAUCUAACCACUUGAAAUUUAAAAUUUUUAUUAGAUUUUUUAAAAACAAUUUACAUUUUAUAAUAAAUAUGAGUAUACUGAUAUUUAAUUCAUAUAUCAUAAGAUUAUUACUUUUUAUUUCUUUUACUAUUUCAAAUGUCAAACGAUUUUUCGAAUGUCAGAAAAUAUUUUUUAAUAUUGUACUAUCCAAAAUAUAUAUUUACACAUACUCAAUUUUGAUUAUUCUAAAUUCUAAUAAAAUUUGUAUGAACAUUUUUUUUAACUUUUGAAAUAUUUAUUUUAUAAAAAUGUAUAU